UACGUAGGGCGCAAGCGUUGUCCGGAAUUAUUGGGCGUAAAGAGCUCGUAGGCGGUCCGUCACGUCCGCUGUGAAAACCCAGGGCUCAACCCUGGGCUUGCAGUGGAUACGGGCAGACUAGAGGUAGGUAGGGGAGAAUGGAAUUCCCGGUGUAGCGGUGAAAUGCGCAGAUAUCGGGAGGAACACCGGUGGCGAAGGCGGUUCUCUGGGCCGUACCUGACGCUGAGGAGCGAAAGCGUGGGGAGCGAACAGG
rnacentral:rRNA from 1 species